CUAAGGGGAACAAAUUGGAGGCUUCUUGAGCUGAAUUUCUCUCUGUUCCAUCCUCUCCAGGUAGGAGCAGAACAGCAGGAGCUGGGAAAUGGUAAGGACUUUCCUCUCCAGGAGAAGACAUCUCCUAUCAUCAAGAGGAGACGAAGGCAGCAGAGAGCUAAAAUACCCCACAGAUUAAAACUCAAAAGUGCAUCAGGCUGAACUUCAGUUGAUGGAGAGCAGAGAUUUUGGCCAUGUGUACACUGCUGAGGCAAGCGAUUCUUGCAGAAAGACAAGGGGAAGGAGAGUAUUUCCAUCAUUUCGUAGGUGUUGGUGGAAAUUCAAGGAGGAAACAAAAUCCUGCCCUAGUGCAGGCAUCAUUUAAAUGAAGUCAUUGCUGAAGUUUUGACUGAUCACUUGUUCAGGACCAAGGAGCUUCAUUAUCAGAAGCAACUUGGCUGCCUGAGAUGAGAAUACACCAAGAUGAGGCAGAUGUUGCUGUAAUCAAGGCAACUGGGAACUGGAUAUGAGGUGGCCACGGGCUGGUCUAUGGACAUCCUUCCAUACUGAUGAAUAUUCAAUCUCUCUGGAAAGAGGAACUACUAUGAGUCAGGGAACCUGCUGUGAUGCACUACGAGAUCCCAGGGGACUGGUGCCCUGUGGUGCCUUCGGGCUGCCUUUCACCCAUCUGCUUUUUGGGGAAAGGCUCAACUAUUCUCCCCUUUGGAUGAGUCCAAAUCAGAUGGGAUGAGAGACUUUGGUAACCUGCCUCAUAAAGAUGUAUGGACCAAGGUGUGAAAAGGUAGAGAGGGGCUCCUUGAUAGUUUGCCUGGGGAAAAAAGAAUAAAGAACCUUGCGAAAGUUCUGGGGAGAGCAAAAAUUGAACUGGAGAGUCCAGAUGAGACAGAAGUAGAUAUCAUCUCGGCACAGUGGUAAUUGACUUUGAAGACGCUAUUCAUCUGAAUUACUCAGUUCGCCAGGAUUCCCAUCCUUUCCAUCUUCACUGAGGAAUUCAAUAUAU